AAACCAACAGGGAUUGCCUUAGUAACGGCGAGUGAAGCGGCAACAGCUCAAAUUUGAAAUCUGGCCCUUGGGUCCGAAUUGUAAUUUGUAGAGGAUGAUUUUGGUGCGGUAUCUUCCGAGUUCCUUGGAACAGGACGCCUUAGAGGGUGAGAGCCCCGUACGGUUGAAUGCCUAGCCUCUGUAAAUCUCCUUCGACGAGUCGAGUAGUUUGGGAAUGCUGCUCUAAAUGGGAGGUAAAUUUCUUCUAAAGCUAAAUAUUGGCCAGAGACCGAUAGCGCACAAGUAGAGUGAUCGAAAGAUGAAAAGCACUUUGAAAAGAGGGUUAAAUAGCACGUGAAAUUGUUGAAAGGGAAGGAUUUGUGACCAGACUUUUUCUGGGCGGAUCAUCCGGGGUUCUCUCCGGUGCACUUUGCCCAGUAAAGGCCAGCAUCGGUUUUCGGCGGGGGAUAAAAGCAGUAGGAAUGUGGCUCUCUUCGGGGAGUGUUAUAGCCUAUUGUAUAAUACCCUGCUGGGGACCGAGGUACGCGCUUCUGCAAGGAUGCUGGCGUAAUGGUUAUCAAUCACCCGUCUUGAAACACGGACCAAGGAGUCGAACAUUUGUGCGAGUGUUUGGGUGUUAAACCCUCACGCGUAAUGAAAGUGAACGGAGGUGAGAGCCCUUACGGGUGCAUCAUCGACCGAUCCUGAAGUUUUCGGAUGGAUUUGAGUAAGAGCAUAACUGUUCGGACCCGAAAGAUGGUGAACUAUGCGUGGAUAGGGUGAAGCCAGAGGAAACUCUGGUGGAGGCUCGCAGCGGUUCUGACGUGCAAAUCGAUCGUCAAAUCUGCGCAUGGGGGCGAAA
rnacentral:rRNA from 2 species